rnacentral:rRNA from 1 species
GCCAAUCCUAGCCCGACCACUCACAUCACAUAACCAAACCUCUAAUUAAAACAAAACAUUUACCACCUUAAAAGUAUAGGCGAUAGAAAUUUUAUUCAGGAGCUAUAGAGACAGUACCGUAAGGGAAAGAUGAAAGAUCACUUAACAGCACAAAAAAGCAAAGAUUAUCUCUUGUACCUUUUGCAUAAUGAAUUAGCCAGAAACCAUUUGGCAAAAAGAAUUUUAGUCAAAGACCCCGAAACUAGACGAGCUAUUUGUGAGCAGUUUUCAGAACGAACCCGUCUAUGUAGCAAAAUAGUGGGACGACUUACAAAUAGCGGUGAAAAGCCAAACGAGCCUAGUGAUAGCUGGUUGUCCAGACCAGAAUCUUAGUUCAACUUUAUGUUUGCCAACAAAAAUACUCAAUUCAAAUGUAAACAUAAAACUUAAUCUAAGAGGGUACAGCCCCUUAGAACCAGGAUACAGCCUGAGUUGGAGAGUAAAUAAAUCCACCACCAUAGUAGGCCCAAAAGCAGCCACCAAUUAAGAAAGCGUUAAAGCUCAACAUAUCCCCAAAACCAAAUCCCUCACUAAACCAAUCAACUCCCAACACUACAGCACUGGACCAAUCUAUAUACAUAUAGAAGCAACACUGCUAAUAUGAGUAACAAGAAUCCAAUUCUCCCAGCACAAGCUUAUAUCAGAUCGUAUAAACACUGAUAGUUAACACCCAUACGUAAACACACCACACCUAAAUAUUUACGUAACCCAUACUGUUGACCCAACACAGGAGUGCACCCAAGGAAAGAUUAAAUGGAGUGGAAGGAACUCGGCAAACCAAAGCCCCGCCUGUUUACCAAAAACAUCACCUCUAGCAUCACAAGUAUUAGAGGCACUGCCUGCCCAGUGACGCAAGUUUAACGGCCGCGGUAUCCUGACCGUGCAAAGGUAGCAUAAUCAUUUGUUCCUUAAUUAGGGACUUGUAUGAAUGGCAACACGAGGGCUUAACUGUCUCCCACCCCAAAUCAGUGAAAUUGACCUCCCCGUGAAGAGGCGGGGAUAAACCAAUAAGACGAGAAGACCCUAUGGAGCUUUAAUUAACUGGCUUAUACAAAUAACCCACCCCCUCCACACGAGCCCAACAACUUAUGUCCCUAAGCCAGAAAUUUUGGUUGGGGUGACCUCGGAGCAUAACUCAACCUCCGAAUGGAUUUUUAGGCCACGACAAACAUGUCUAAGCAACUACACCAUCAAUUGACCCAAUUUAUUGAUCAAUGGAACAAGUUACCCUAGGGAUAACAGCGCAAUCCUAUUUUAGAGUCCAUAUCGACAAUAGGGUUUACGACCUCGAUGUUGGAUCAGGACAUCCAAAUGGUGCAACCGCUAUUAAUGGUUCGUUUGUUCAACGAUUAAAGUCCUACGUGAUCUGAGUUCAGACCGGAGUAAUCCAGGUCGGUUUCUAUCUAUUCAUUAACUUCUCCCAGUACGAAAGGACAAGAGAAGUGGAGCCCACUGCACCCCAGCGCUUCAAGCCCAAUAGAUGAAACAAUCUUAAUCUAAUAAACUACCCCCACCCUGCCCAAGACCAGGGUUU